CAAUAGCGUAUAUUAAAGUUGUUGCGGUUAAAAAGCUCGUAGUUGGAUUUCUGCUGAAGGCAGCCGGUCCAUGUUCGACAUGCGCAUCUGGAUUGACUUCGGCAUCCUCUCAGAUAACGAUUCUGUGCUUGAUUGCAUGGAGCGGAGUUUGAGACUUUUACUUUGAGGAAAAUAGAGUGUUCACGGCAGGCAAUCGCCCUGAAUAUAUUAGCAUGGAAUAAUAAAAUAGGAUCUUGGUUCUAUUUUGUUGGUUUCUAGAACGAAGAUAAUGAUUAAUAGGGACAAUUGGGGGCAUUCGUAUUAACGCGUCAGAGGUGGAAUUCUUGGAUUGCGUUACGACGAACUACUGCGAAAGCAUUUGCCAAGGAUGUUUUCAUUGA
rnacentral:rRNA from 1 species